AAGUAACGUCCUGCCAAACCCA
rnacentral:siRNA from 1 species